UACUAAAGUGAAUAAAUUAUAAAUUGAAUUUAAUUUAUAUUACAUAUGAAUUACAUAGUAAAUUACAAAAGUAGUUAUAAAUUUAAAAUUAAUAAUGAAUUUACUAGUGAAUUAAAAUUAUUGUGUGGUUGUUUAUGAUAAGUUGAGGUGGUAAAAACAACUAUCAAACAGAGAUAAUGGAUAUACACACAAAUUAGCAAUAGAAGUGACGAAAAACAUACCAAACGGUGACCAGAACACAUUAAAAAAACUGAUUCAAGAUGAAAUGUGCUAGACUUAACUAAUUGACAGUUUAUCAAACAUAUCUAUGGAAACGAAACAGUGAUUAACUCACCGUAUUCGUAUCCCACGAACCUUUGAAAUGGAUCACAUAUCAUUACUGGCCUUGUGAAAUUGAUAAAAACAAACUAAACAAAAACCAAAAAGACGCCAGUGAGUCUAUAAACGCCUGCAAAUAUAUUUAAAAAAUUAAAAAUAAAUAAUAGAAAAAAAGUUAAAAUUCUGCUGACUUGACUUGAAUUUCUUACUAGGCCAAUGACGCCGGUCAACUACCGUACUACUAUCAGGCAGAAUGGUAACGUAUGUGACGUCACAUGAAGUGAUAAAAAUAUUGCAAACACUCUGAUAAAAGAAAGAAUUUCAAAGAAAAAAUUCAACAAAACAAUAAUGAAUGAAUGAAUGUGCACAGUUAGGAAACAAGGUAAACAAACUCAUGAAAAGAAUCAUGUGUUGGAUUGACUGAGACUGAGACUGAAACUGGCUGAGUCUGGGUGAGAGAUAACAGCACAACAGAGUUUUGUCUGGCAGUAGACAAAACUCUGUUUUGAAAACAUGUAAUAAUCAUGAUAACUCAUGUUCGCAGUACUCAAUUUAAGUAGCAAUGAACAUUUUAAGAUUUUGUCGAAACGUCAUUUGUUAGGGGUUUCCUAUUGAUAAGUUUUAUUUUAUUAUUUUCUUAUAUGUAUAUAUUUUUUUUAAUUUUAUUCAAAAUAUGGUUUGCAAAGAUAAGCAUAGAAUUUCAAAUGUUCAUUUAGGAUAGACGAGCAGUUUAUGUUUUAGCUGAAGUUUUUGAUAAGAAGAAAAAAACACCGCCUACAAUUAAAGAGCUCAUUCUGCACAUUUGCGAUAAUUUUUUGAAAAGGCAUAAAGAACAUAAAAACUGGAUGAGAUCGGUUCGCAAUUGGAAUCCGUGGAGAGAUUUGUUUAUGGAGGCUGAGUUCGAACAGCGAUUGUAGUACCAAUGCCGAUACUGCAAUGCUGAUAAGGAACAUAAACACACACAAUAUAUUUACAUAUAUAAUUCAUAAUUUGUUUCAUUAAAUGAAGUUUUAUAAAGUACAUUGAUGUUAUGUUAGAACUUGUGCUAGGUCAUAAAGAAUAUUUCAAUAUUCAUUUUAAAAUGUUAGAUAAAAGUAUA